GACGUAGGGCGCGAGCGUUGUCCGGAUUUAUUGGGCGUAAAGAGCUCGUAGGCGGCUUGUCGCGUCGUCCGUGAAAACCCACAGCUCAACUGUGGGCUUGCGGUCGAUACGGGCAGGCUAGAGUUCGGUAGGGGAGACUGGAAUUCCUGGUGUAGCGGUGAAAUGCGCAGAUAUCAGGAGGAACACCGGUGGCGAAGGCGGUUCUCUGGGCCUUACCUGACGCUGAGGAGCGAAAGCGUGGGGAGCGAACAGG
rnacentral:rRNA from 1 species